rnacentral:rRNA from 1 species
UGGGGGAUAUUGCACAAUGGAGGAAACUCUGAUGCAGCGACGCCGCGUGAGUGAAGAAGUAUUUCGGUAUGUAAAGCUCUAUCAGCAGGGAAGAAAAUGACGGUACCUGACUAAGAAGCCCCGGCUAACUACGUGCCAGCAGCCGCGGUAAUACGUAGGUGGCAAGCGUUGUCCGGAUUUAUUGGGCGUAAAGCGAGUGCAGGCGGUUCAAUAAGUCUGAUGUGAAAGCCUUCGGCUCAACCGGAGAAUUGCAUCAGAAACUGUUGAACUUGAGUGCAGAAGAGGAGAGUGGAACUCCAUGUGUAGCGGUGGAAUGCGUAGAUAUAUGGAA